CAGAUCAUCAAAAUGUGAUCUGAGUUACAACUCCUUGUCUUUGACCUGUAUAAGGAAAUGUUAUUAUUGCCGGGAAUAUGACACCUCAAAGCAGAUGAUGACGGACAGGAAACCCUGAAACUCAUUCCCUUGCAGUUUCAGAUGAAGGAGGAGUUUUAUAUCCUGCCAACUGAUUCCUUCCACACGACUAGCUGUCCAUUUCAGAGAACUCAGUUGGGAGAAAAACAAACAUGGCUGUCACUGCAUCUUCUUGGAGACGAGUGUCGGACUGACUGGGUAGAAGAUGUUCCGUGAAGAAUGUUCAGUAGGGUCAGUCUGUCUCUAAUUGGUUGUAAUGGAGGAAAUUCUUGACCACACAAAGAAUCAAUGGUUUACACUGUCAGCCUGUUGUGAACAGAAGUUGGUCCAGAUCCCUCCAGUCUUUGUUUGAUCCAGCAACAGGAACACAGCUGACUGAGGGAAGGACCAGCAGAAGGAUUGUCUGUUGAGGAUCCAGGAAUCACAAGAUGUAUCGGCAACCAUUUGGUACAUGCCCUGAAUCAUCAGUAAGAAGAAUGUUAUGUAGUAGAUGAGGUUCAGUUUAGAUCCAGUGUUGAGCCCAGGUCAGAAUCCACAUCUAAAACAUGACAUGAUCCCUAAACAGAUCCAGUGUGAGGUCCAUGAGUGAAUACAGAUCAGGAUCCGGAUAUGAUCUGGUACAGAUCCAACAAUGAGAUCCAAUAUGAGGUGGACACAGAUAACAAAGUCUCUUUCGUGUGAGUUGAAGAAAGCAGCCUCUUCCACACCUGGUGUUGACAGCGUUGUUGGGAGAGGUUCUGACUUGCUGGUUUGUCUGCACCACAGUCUGUAGGCUUGAACUCAGACAGAGGAGUUCAAGUGUAGAGCUAGUGUUACCAGCCAACAAGACAAAUAUAAGUACUAAAAGAAACAAAACCUUGAUAUAAACUUCCAUGAAGUAUUUCCAUGUGACCCUCACUCAAUAAACAUCACAGAGGUUGGCAGUGCCUCGUGUUCAGGGUUGAGGAGGCCCCAUUGUCUGGGUGUUCCUUAUCCUUCAGAAGAUGGGGUGUGAGUGACCACAUUCUUCCUAAACUUGCAGCUGUAGUUCCAGUCAUCAGUACACCUGUGUAUCUCUGUGAUGGGAAUAUGUGUGUAGUGUUCUUCUUGGAUAUACCUGGAUUAUACCUGGAAACUACCUGAACAAGCAAGGACACUUGCCACAGGUAAACUUGUAUUUCCUGGGCAAGUUGUGUCGGGGACAUGUGGAAGUUGUCAGGCACGUGUACCUGACCUCGACUGACAUGGCGGAGGACCAACCCUCAGUGCUAAUCGGUAGCAGCACCCACAGCACGCCUACAACAAUAGACAACACACAUUGUGUGUGGAGCUUAAAGCAGCCACUAGUGCACAGAUGGUGGUCCUACUUUCUGGGGGAUACAGAUAGGUACUGGCAACUGUUGUGUGUGGUAGGUUAUGCAUCUCAGGGUGGACCUUUGGGUUUGGGAUCUCAGGUUGGUGAUGGCUUAUGGGUGGGAUGUGAGUUAGGGUGUAGAUACACGGCAAGGACAAGGAAUAACUAACUGUCAGUAGACUGUGCACAUUAAUACAAGGCCAAGACUUCUUGCCUGAUCCUAAUGAAAAUAAGUUUGUCCCUAUAAUAUAACAGUGGAGAGCAGGAGACCCAAACUGUCCGAACAGCACGCCACCGGUGUGUCUUUGACAUUUGAGUGAAUGUUGCCUGCUUGAGGUGUCUACAUCUGGUACACAUAAGAGUGUGCCAUGUCCUUGGUUCUGGGACUCCGAGCCCACAAGAAAGGAACUGCAAGUACAAGGCUGUCAUCUGCACAAUGUCUGGAAUUCACAGAGAUAUAAAACUAUCUGUAAGCUGAGAGCAGCAUUUGUUCCUGAAAACAUCUGCGAAGCAUGGAUUAGGGACAUGCAAGAAUGGGGUUAUGGGGAGGGGUGGGAGUCAUGUUGGGGGUGGGGGAGGGUCACAUGCAGGAGUGUUUCUGUAGGUGUGGUGGGGAUGGGGGGGAGAAAGGUCAUGGUGAUAGGCUUGUCCCUGAUGACUACCAUGGGUGAAGGGGAAGAGCAAGAUUUGUGUUUGUGUGGAGGUCUGUGUUGAGGGGUUUAUGGUCUCAGGCGUAAAGGAAGUACCAGUUAAUAUGAAUAUUCAUUGUCACAGAUCCAUAAAUCACUGGCUGAUGAAUCAGAACAUGCUGAAAGAAGGACUGACUGGGACAUGUUUUUCUCCUUGGAAAUUACAUGUAUAUUUUCUUUGUUCCCAGUACAAACAUUUACAUUGUUUAAAUACCGCUGCUGUCCAGAAAACGUACUGUUAGACAGGAGUGUUUGCUUAUAAUCUGCCUCAAGUUGUUGACAAUGGUUGCAACUACAGUUGGACAACUGCUACUCUUUCACCACUGGCAGUGAGAAUCGAACAAACAUGUGUUCAUCUUUUCAUGAUUAAAAUUAGAAAUACCAAA
rnacentral:lncRNA from 1 species